GGAAGGUCUAUUUUGAUGUCUGCAUGCAUAACCGAAUAUUUUGACUAAAGUUAUCUGUAAAUGAAAUAAAUACAGAGUAAAAAUCUGCCAGAAUAAUAACCCAUUCAUGCAGUUAAAACGUCCACCCGUACCUCGGAGCAUACGGUAAUUAACCAGGACAUGAAGCAAUUAAUUUUUAAGCUUUGAUUUGAAAACCUGAUUAUUUUAAUCCACUUCUGGCCAGCCUAGCUAUAUAUAGUAGCAGUAUAUAUACAUUCUACAAACGGUAGACAAAUACUGACGUCGAGUUUCCGGCACAUGGAGAUGUGCUGUUAGAAUUACAAGAGUUCAUAUCAAGUUGUAGACAAC